UCGGGGGUCAGGGCCCCAAGGCAAGGAUGGCCCCUGGCUGAAACGCCAAGUGGGAGAAGGUCACAGUCCACCUCUCUUUUUACCUCGUCUGCAUUUCACUUCUCCUUUCUGACCGACGGGGCUGCCGUGCGGCCCCGGUACUCCUGCCCCCAGGAGAAGCUGUGAGGAGCGGCAGCCCACGGACAGGCAGGGGACUCUGGAGCUCGUGUCCUCUGGGGCCAGUGCUUGACCAGAAAGAGGGAACCCGAGGGGAAAAUGGCAGUGGGAGGGAAUGAGUAACACCAGGCAGACCGGGGGCCGCGCUAAGUCCUUCAGCUCUGUCUCCAAACUUAGACCCUGAGCAAUGGACCCGGGCUUCCAGAGACAGCAUUUGGACAGCGGCACCUAAUCCUCUGAGCUCCAUUCUUCUAAGAAGCCCUCCCAGACAUGACAAAGGCAAAGACGGGGCCUUCCCUGCAUCCCACCCAGGCCUGGGAAACUGAGCUGAAUGGUGAUCGCUGCCCCAGCCCCAGAAGAAGGGCGGAGCACAAGCCGAGGCAGUGAGGGCUGCCGCCAUUGUCCAGAGGUGGACAGGCUCUCCUCCUCGGACCUGGUGGCCCAGCCCCAGGCCUCUGGUGUCUGGAAUGUUCUUUAGGUGGGAAGCCCCAGAUCCCUCCUUACCUGCUGGAGUCUGCAAGUACUCCUCUCCCACCAGCUGGGUCUCCAACUUUCUUCACUGCCCUUUCCUCCGCAGAAAGGCUGGGACCCAGAAGAACUUUGUUCUCAACGUCCCUGGCCCGUGGCUCUAUGGCAACCUCCUCACCAGCAGCACUCGCUUGGCGGGCAUCCUGGGUCCCUGGAGAGAGCAGAGUGGGGCUGGGUUACGGUCCUUUCUCUGUGUUUUCUGCCCUUGAGGCCAGGGAGUCAGAGAAGCGGGACCUCAUCAGGAAUCCCGGGCCAGGGUGAGAUCUCAAGGCGGCUGGGAUAGGGUCCCGGAGGGCACCAAGGGGUGGUGGUCUUCUCGUUUGUCACGGAUGAUCUCUGUCCCAUUAAGAUCAAAUUCAUUUCCUACAAGCUACAAGGCUCCGAAUUACAGAUCCAGCUAUGCGUAAGGGCUGACCCGUCAUUCGCGGACAGGGAGAUUUUUUUCCCACAGCUUUGAAACCCUGCCAAGGCCUCCUGACUGCAGGGCUGGGCACCAUAGUGCUGCCCCCUGGUGGUAGCGUGGCUAGGGUUCCCUCGUCAGUGAGCCAGGAUGCUGACAUGGUAGGAUUUCCAGAGGGACUAAAAAUACCCUCACUAGGGAUAAAACAUUUCAUGUGAUAUUUUUAAAAGAGGCUUAAAAUGCAAACUUGCCAGCAGAGGUUGCCCUAAUUUUCUUUAUCAGACCUUGAAUCAGACCGUGGUGAUCUGAGUCUCUUUUGAGCAGGCUUUGGCAGACUAAGAGACAUAUAAUUGUGACUUUGACAUUUCUGUAUAUAGAAAGAGAGAUCUACAUAGAGAAAGGGCUUCAAAGUGGCCUGAAAGGGCAACCAUGGGGCUUGUCUUGAAACUGAAGUUAAAUGGCAGAUCCACUAUUUUUAAUUAGUUUGUAUGUUUUGGGGGAUGCUCUUUUGGGAGGCCUAAAGAGACUAUGUGGGGGCUGAAAUCUCUCCCUUGCCCCCACUUUUUAUAGCCAAACCCAGGGACCACCCUUGAUGGAGACACUCUUAGGCGGGAGUCUUUCGCUGGGGUCUCAGGGGGAUGUGGGCCUGGCCCUUGGACACUCACCCUUUACCCUCGUCUCCACCGCCACGUAGACAGCCGCGGUCUCUCCGUACUGGAGGCCGUCCUUCACCCCGCACCAGUACCAGCCUUCGUCCUCCUUGGUGACGGGGUUCAGGUUCAGGGAGGUGAUCUGGCUCUGCUGGCUGCAGUUCACGAAGGCUUGGCUGGCGCCCUGGUCCUGGCUGGGCAGUGUCCUGCACCCGGUGUUGCUCCAUUUGCACCAGUACUUCUCGGAGGAGUAGAAUUUGCAUGGGAAGUGGCAGGGCAGCUUGAAAGGCUCUCCCAGCCAGGCAGUGACAUUCUUGGAUACCUUGAGGCUUGGUUCUCCUGGAGCAGGGAGAUAGGGAGAGAUAGGCACAGAAGUUGGCACUGGUGAUGCCACAGGGAAGUGACUGUGCGGGGGCACCUUUGUCCACAGUCCACAUCCUCUUUGGACAGUGUGGUGACUGAAUACACUUCCCUGAACACUUAAGCACUGCAAUUGUGUGCCUAUGUGGUAGAUCAGCGAGGACCGCCGUGAUCAGCCCAGUCUAUCACAGAACAUAGACCCUGCCAGCGACUUGCGUUCACUUUCCCUGCUGUCAUCUUCUCUCCUAGACUCAAUACAGAGCCGCGCUCUACCCCAGCUGAUGCCGCAGAUAAAGAGGCCAAUGUUCUCGAUAAUAGGAGGUGUUACGUGUGGUAGCUUGAAGCAUGUGAGGUCUCACCUUCGUUGACGAAGAGUUGCCAAGCCUGGGUAGACGAGCCUUUCUGGGGCACGCCGUCAGAGUCAGCUCCGCACAGGUAGAGCCCUGCAUCCUCUUUCUUCAGGCCGGUGAUGUGCACAGUAAAGCGGCC